rnacentral:rRNA from 1 species
UGAGUGCGAGCUGCUACGGCAGCGAAGUUGGUGACGUCAUGCUUCCAAGAAAAGCCCUAUACCCGUUAAGGCAUCAUGGCCUGUACCCGAAACCGACACAGGUGGGGUGGUAGAGAAUACCGAGGGGCGCGAGGUAACUCUCUCUAAGGAACUCGGCAAAAUGGCCCCGUAACUUCGGGAGAAGGGGUGCCACCGCAAGGUGGUCGCAGUGAAGAGGCCCAGGCGACUGUUUACCAAAAACACAGGUCUCCGCUAAGUCGCAAGACGAUGUAUGGGGGCUGACGCCUGCCCAGUGCCGGAAGGUUAAGGAAGCUGGUCAGCGCAAGCGAAGCUAGCGACUGAAGCCCCGGUGAACGGCGGCCGUAACUAUAACGGUCCUAAGGUAGCGAAAUUCCUUGUCGGGUAAGUUCCGACCCGCACGAAAGGCGUAACGAUCUGGGCGCUGUCUCGGAGAGAGGCUCGGCGAAAUAGAAUUGUCUGUGAAGAUGCGGACUACGUGCACCCGGACAGAAAGACCCUAUGAAGCUUUACUGUAGCUUGGUAUUAUGCCCGGGCUCGCAAUGCGCAGGAUAGGUGGGAGGCUUUGAUCAUCGGCUUGCGGGUCGAUGUGAGCCAACGGUGAGAUACCACUCUUUGCGAGCUAGGGUUCUAACGGCCACCCGUCAUCCGGGGGCCGGACAGUACCUGGUGGGCGGUUUGACUGGGGCGGUCGCCUCCUAAAAGGUAACGGAGGCGCGCAAAGGUUUGCUCAGGCUGGUUGGAAAUCAGCCGACGAGUGUAAAAGCAGAAGCAAGCUUGACUGUGAGACCAACAAGUCGAACAGGGAGGAAACUCGGCUUUAGUGAUCCGACGGUUCUGAGUGGAAGGGCCGUCGCUCAACGGAUAAAAGUUACUCUAGGAUAACAGGCUGAUCUCCCCCAAGAGUUCACAUCGACGGGGAGGUUUGGCACCUCGAUGUCGGCUCAUCGCAACCUGGGGCUGAAGUCGGUCCCAAGGGUUGGGCUGUUCGCCCAUUAAAGCGGUACGCGAGCUGGGUUCAGAACGUCGUGAGACAGUUCGGUCCAUAUCCGGUGCACGCGCAGGAAUAUUGAGAGGAUUUCUCCCUAGUACGAGAGGACCGGGAGGAACGCACCUCUGGUGUACCAGUUAUCGUGCCAACGGUAAACGCUGGGUAGCCAUGUGCGGAGUGGAUAACCGCUGAAAGCAUCUAAGUGGGAAGCCCACCUCAAGAUGAGUAUUCCCAUGGCGUAAGCCAGUAAGGUCACGGGAAGAACACCCGUUGAUAGGCUCUAUGUGGAAGCGCAGUAAUGCGUGAAGCAGAGGAGUACUAAUAGACCGGGGGCUUGACC